AAGUCGUAACAAGGUAACCGUAGGUGAACCUGCGGUUGGAUCAUUAGUGGUUUUUACGUAGCGCUGUUGUAGUGUUUCUGGGGGGUGUUGGUCUUUGGUUUUGUGUGUUUGUCUGUUUUUGUCUUUUUGUUUGUCUGUUUUUGUGCAUUGCCUUGUGCUGCCUUGUGCUGCCUUGUGCGGUGCCGUGGCAGUACAAACGGAUCGACGGCAACACUCGGACCAGACCCAAGAACCCUUGCAGACAAUAGACGUCUUUGCUUGCUUUGAUGAAACCAAAUCAAAAACAACUUUUGACAACGGAUCUCUUGGCUCUC
rnacentral:misc_RNA from 1 species